GACGAAGGGGGCUAGCGUUGUUCGGAAUUACUGGGCGUAAAGCGCGUGUAGGCGGUUAUCCAAGUCGGGUGUGAAAGCCUUGAGCUCAACUCAAGAAAUGCACUCGGUACUGGGUGACUAGAGGACCGGAGAGGAUAGUGGAAUUCCCAGUGUAGUGGUGAAAUACGUAGAGAUUGGGAAGAACACCAGUGGCGAAGGCGGCUAUCUGGACGGUUUCUGACGC
rnacentral:rRNA from 1 species